GGCGCGGAGAGGAGCGCGGCGCGCAGACAAAACGCCUCUUAAAGGCUCCGCGAGCGGCUGGGGAUGGGAUCGAGGACUUCGCCUCUUGGCAACUUGGCGAGGCCACGAAAGGCGCCGCGCGCGCACCACCCGGGACUCCCGGCGCAUCUGUGCGCCCGCGAUGCCCGAGAGAGAGAGAAAAGUCCCCCGAUUCUUCGCAGAGGGGUAGUGGGUGGGGGUGGGCAGGCGCCGCGUACCCAGCUCGCGGGCAAUUUCCAAACGAAAGAUUUGGCCAAAUCCGGGUGGCGGUGGACCCCUCUCUUAAUCAACUCCGAUCACUUGCUUGGUUUGGUGGCUUUUUUUUUUUUUUAAAGAGGGGAAAAAAGCUCUUUAGAGCCUGUCUUUUCCUUGUAGGGUUAACAUUUCACAGGUAUGUGGCCUGACAUUUUAAUUGCUCAAAUAAAGCAUCUCGGAUGCGGAGAAGCAGAAAUAGACUUCAUCUCAUUGUCAUGACGCAAUUAAAAUAAAUUUCCCUCAACUUUAUCCGCUCUCCUUAGUUCUGACGAACUCGCAAGCCAACAUCCUGCCCCACACCCAGUCAGGGCGAGAGGGGAAAAGACCCAUGUUUGCCCGCUGCUGGGCAAGCAGAGGCGGCCUCCAGCCUCCCGUGUGUGCCCUCUGCACACACAUGUAAGUGUACAUGUAUGAGAUGCACAUUUGUCAAUGUACACAGACAAAGACUUCAGCCACUUGCACUUCUAGGUCGUGGAACAGUGAAGUGCGGAUUUCAUUGUUCCUUAAGUUUCCUUAAAAGCAUUCAUAUAGCCAUUAAAACACACCCAGAGACUCUGCCCCAUAUUGGGGACAAGACCAGUACAACUCAAGAACCACACACCAGCCAUACUCUAUCCCGAGAAAUCAACUGCAAUAAGGCCACCGUCAUAGUCUCUGCCAUUCUGUUCCAUGGGCUAAAAUCAUCCACAGGGCUGUGUCUCUAAAUUCCAGGGCGUUGGGUUUUAAACAUCAAACAUCUAGAAUUGCCCCCCACCUCCCAGAACACACACUAUUCCAACGCACCUCUCUGUGUGAUUAGAAAAAGUUAGUGGAUUAUGGUUACUUCAUAUUAAUGAAAGAAAAUGGUGACUCCGUCAUACACACUUUGCACCAGGAAAAAAGCUGUACAUGGGUCAGCCCACCAGGUUUAUGAACGAUUAGAAUAUUUCACACGAAACUCGCCGAGCUGCCGGAAACGUGGACACACAGAAAUAGUAAGGGACGACCGCCAGAAAGCAUCCUUGAUCAUUAAAAAAAAUUAAAAAGAUGAAGAAUUGUUUAGAAGAAGUCGCCACACAUGAAACUGACAUGUGUAGAUUGCAUUUUGCAUUCCAUACCCUUUGCACACACAGGCAGAAUACAGGGUAGGGACUGAGUGGAGAUGGAGGCAGAUAGGGGCUAGUUUUAAGGGAAGAAAAAAAAAUAUCCUCUUUCCGCUUCAUUUCUGAAACCUCUUAGCUCUCACCCUUUCCCGGCUGAAAUCACACAGUUCACGAAACAGUGAAUGUUCUGGAAGGUGGGGGGCAAUUCUCGCUGUUUGAUGCAGGUGCUGGGAUGACUUGAAAGUUGUAAAAAAACAAACCAAACACAAACCUACAGUGGACAGGGAGCUCUCCUAAACCUGGUGUGUAAUGAGAUUGCCACAGAGCCAAGGCAGGCUGCGAAUUUCAGGUUGAUGACAGGCACAAUGUAACUUUCUCCUGAGGGGGACCAGCAGCAUGGGAGAGGAAUUAUUCCAGGGAAAUAUUUCCCCCCUUUCAACCUCUAGGAUUCGAGAAAUUGCCCAAUGCUGCAAAUGUCAGUGGAUCUGGGGUAAACUCAGUAGAGUUGUGGUGGGACUGGGGUUGACUAGGACAUCUGAUGGGCAUUCCCAUCUCGGUUUAAUAGAUGAUAGAAUCAUUGAUGAUGGGGGAAUCUUAAUCUCGCCUCUUGUACAGACACUUCCACAGCAAGAGCCACCUUUUCCACACAUGCAGGGGGGAAUUCGAGGGGGACGGGCUUCCCCAGUCCAGUUAGAGAAACUGGGUGUUUGAAGUCCAGUUUGAUGGCCUCAGAUUUAAAAUGAAGAUUUCCCCACCGUCCCCAGCAGAACUGGAGCCUGCCAGGCUGAGGACCUCAGGGCUACCAGGAAGUCAGAAGUGUUUUUACUUUGUAUUUUGGGACCCAUUCAUAGUUAUGCAGAUGCUAUUAAAAAGCAAAAAAAAAGUAUUAAUUGCAGUUAAUUUUACCGUAUGAAAGGACUGCAGUCCGAGAAGAAGAGAAAAAGAGAAAUAAUUAAAAAUGUCUUACUUAGAGAUGCUCAUUUCUCUGAAAUACAACAGCUCUAAGACUAACCGCUAAACAUCAAUAUAUUGUGACCGUUGGAAAAAAAUAAAAUAAAGCCAGCCCAGUCUUUUAUUGCAGAUGUAAAUUUAUUUUAAUGAGAGGAAUGGCAAGCUUUCAUUUGGCCGGGAGAAAGUUGGGAAAACAUUUGUCUUCCUCUGGGGAUCCCAAGCCAAGCAACGGGAACCCCAACCCAGGAAUAUGAUUCCAUUACAGAAAGCGGCCUGACCGCAGAUUCGGUCACCAGAUGCAUACAGACCCCAGCAAACGCCGAGUUUAACUCUGAACUCGGCAGAAGCCAGCCCUGUCCACCACGAUGCAUUGAAUUGCUCCUUCCCUUCAAUCUCCUCCUGUGUGUUUUUCCCUUCCACCCCACGGCAGCUCCCUGAAUAGGAGAAAGGGCCUCCAUUGUGCGCCUCUCAACUUCCAAGUCAAUGCAAUUUUUAACCGCUGGCUUGUGGUACUUUGAAAAUCACCAGGGGCUGUCAGAGUUGGGUCUCCCUGAAAAAUUUACAGUGCUCGAUCGGAGCAUAUGCCGGGAGGGGAAAAAAUUGCUGGAGAUUGGAGCAAGUGCAGUAUCUGUCUGCCCCCUAGUGUAAGAGUCCUCGCUGCCUAAAAUCCAACUUUAAGAGAAAAGGGGUUCUUAAAGGGGAACGACUUGAGGCUCGCGGAGGCGCAGGGGGAUGAAACUUCUGGGCAUUUUCAGCGGAAUCAUUGCCCGGGAUUGCAAAUUAAUUGGCUCUGGCUGGGUUGGACCGGACCCUCAUCUCGCCACCUCUUGCGUCUCCCGUGUCACUGGCGGCGAGGUGAUGAUUUCUUUUUCUCCCUCCCCCCUGAACUGGGUUUCUGUGCGUCCCUCUCACCCCCUCCUCUCUUUUCCUUUCUCUGUCUCUGUCGUCUCUCUCGCUGGCUUUUUAAAAAAUGAGGACCCCGUGCCUGGAUCGUGCUGGACACAGCCCAGAACGGCUUCUUAAGUCAGCCCGCCGCGGUGGCCGCACACAGCAGAAAGGCCCACGUUUGCCUGCAACCCGCACACCAGCUGCACCACCCCGCCGGCCGGAUGAUGACAAAAGAAAGUCACAAAAAGAUUACACUGCUCGUUUGAACUUUGACCCAAUCCUGAUGGACUACGGAGCUGACACGCUUAACUUGUAAUUCCUCUGGCUACGUGGUUCACUUGAAGUAAAAAUCAAACAUUAACCGCCUCCACCAAAACCCUAACCCAAACCAACUCUGCACCCACCAACGAAAAUCUGCCAAGUUCUACUUUACGAUCAUCCCAGGGAAGAGUAAGUACGAAAGCAGCAGCAAGAGAAAGUCGCCCGGCUUGAAAAGGCGUGUCGAAGACCAGCUAAUGGAAUGACAGGUGCCGUUUGCCCAGCCAAGUGUCACAGGGCAAUGGGCCCCGAACACCCAGCGUCUCCAUCAGAUGCAGCACGGACACCCUCAUGGUGGGGCCCGCGCCACAGCCAAGGACUCGUCAGUGGGGUUUGCCGUUCAGCUGCUAACCUUCCUUAGAUCCUUCCUCCUUACGUAUGCAUCCUAGAACUUGGAGGCAAAGUUAAACACGUUUCCUUUUGAAAAGACGAAUGUAAUUUCUGGACGCGAUCUAUCUGAGAAUACGAAGCGAAGUGAGCCCGGGAAGUUGCUUCGCAGAGGCAAACCCUUUAAGAGUCCAUGUCACAUUUACUGCCAUAAAAUAUUUUUCUCUCUGUGAGACAUCUGCUUCCCAUUACACGCUGUAUUGGGUACUUGAGUCCACCGGCCAUUCUGCAUACCAAGCAGCGCGUAUGUGAAACCCCACCGCCAGCGCCGGUGUGCGUUCUGACCGGGCAAUUUUACUUGCGUUUAUAAGACAGCCCUUCCGUCAUCAUUUCUUCCCCAUACGCUCUCAGGACUGUUUCGUUUCCAACUUCUCUUAAGGACCAAAUUGCCGACGUCUGAGAAAUGAAGUUCAAAAUGGGGGAGGCUUUGCUUUGCAUUCUCUUAAGAUGCAACUGUCUAUAUAACCCAGCGUCGAAACCAACGGAACGUCUCAGCUCGGAGUCUAUUUCCUAGUCACACUGACCCAGAAAUGAGAAACACAAUCCGGGAUGUUUGCUAAUGAGUCAUGAAUUUCAUGAUAAUUGCUUCCAUAUUCUCAGAGCUUCCCUAAACCGGCUAAUCUUGACAGAUCCCGCAACAAUCCCAUGUGUUGUAAAUGAUUUUGUGUUAUUUCUUAGGUUACUGUUAAAGGCUUAUUUUAUGGUUCAUUUCAUUUUCUUAAAGAAAACCACACACACACACAC